AUUCGUGCCAGCAGUUGCGGUUAUACAAAUAAUAUAAUUUAAUUUAAUCAGUAAUAAUUAAUUGAAAAUAAGAAAAUUUUAAAUUAAAGUUUUAAAGGUGAAAUUUUGAAUUUUAAUAAGAUUUAGUUUUUAUGAUGAAGUUAAAAAAUUUAAUAAAUAGACUAGGAUUAGAUACCCUAUUAUUUUAAAUGUAAUUUUUUAUACUAAAUUAGUAAUAGUUAUGUUCUUUAAAAUUAAAAAUUUUGGCGGUAUUUUAGUCUAUUCAGAGGAACCUGUUCUAUAAUUGAUAAUCCACGAUUAAAUUUACUUUUAUUAUUAGCUUGUAUAUCGUCGUAAUGGAAUAUUUUAUAAGAAUAAUAAUAUUCAAGAUUUUAAAUAAAAAAAUAAAUCAGAUCAAGGUGCAGUAUAUAUAAAAGAAGAAAUGGGUUACAAUAAAGCUAUUUAGGGAUUAUUAUUAUUAGAGUAAUAUAAAUUUGGAUUUGAGAGUAAAUUUAAUUAGUUAAUUAAAUUGAUUUAGCUCUAAAAUAUGUACACAUCGCCCGUCA
rnacentral:rRNA from 1 species